CUGCUUUACAUAGAUAACUAAAUAACUAAGCAAAAACAUGUAGAGAGAGCAAAUAAUCCAGGUUAAAAAUAAAAAGGCAUCUUCCUGUUAUCUUAGCAUGAUCCACUAGAUUAUUUUAAAAUUCAGGACAACAAAUUUCAUCCAAAAAAAAUUAUGCAAGUCUAGCAAAUUCUGAAGCCAAAAAUCAGUAACUUACCGUCACCAUAGUCAUACUCCUAAUCAUAGUUACCUGGAACAUGUAUUGGAUGGUGUGAUGUGGUCGGGAUGGAGUGAAGAGAUUUUUAAAGGUAUAGCAAGGUAGUAGAAGGAGAGCUACCAAACCUCCCUAAUCCACCAAUAUGAUGGGGUAAAACAAUCAGUAACUUAUCGUCACCAUAGUCAUACUCCUAAUCAUAGUUACCUGGAAUGUGCAUUGGAUGGUGUGAUGUGGUCUGGAUGGAGUGGAGAUAUUUUUAAAGUAAGGUAUAGCAAGGUAGUAGAAGGAGAGCUACCAAACCUCCCUAAUCCACCAAUUUGAUGGGAUAAAAAAAAAGUGGGAUUUCGCCUUAAAAAACCAUCCUCUUACUCAACACUUUAAAAACUCAUGCUUUACCUCCAAAAACUUCAUCCAAAACAUAUAGUAACAUGGUAUGUGGUAUAGUUAUUAGAGGCACGAGGUGACUAAGAUGCUGAGAGAUCUUGAAGCCUAGGAGCAAGUGCAGACCUAAGUGAGGCCAAUUGGAAAAAUAAAAAAAAUGAAACAAAACAGAACAAAAGAUAAUGUGGCUUAGUCAAGCAGCCCCAAGAAGCAGAAGAAGCUCAAAAGCAGUGCAGGAGCAUAACAUAUGCAUGUAGGCUACAGCAGCAAAUAGACCCAAGUUC
rnacentral:lncRNA from 1 species